GAUGAACGCUGGCGGCGUGCUUAACACAUGCAAGUCGAACGGAAAGGCCAGUGCUUGCCCUGGUGCUCGAGUGGCGAACGGGUGAGUAACACGUGGGUGAUCUGCCCUGCACUUUGGGAUAAGCCUGGGAAACUGGGUCUAAUACCAGAUAGGACCAUGCUUUGGAUGGUGUGGUGGAAAGUUUUUUCGGUGUGGGAUGAGCUUGCGGCCUAUCAGCUUGUUGGUGGGGUAAUGGCCUACCAAGGCGUCGACGGGUAGCCGGCCUGAGAGGGUGUACGGCCACAUUGGGACUGAGAUACGGCCCAGACUCCUACGGGAGGCAGCAGUGGGGAAUAUUGCACAAUGGGCGCAAGCCUGAUGCAGCGACGCCGCGUGGGGGAUGACGGCCUUCGGGUUGUAAACUCCUUUCGCAACUGACGAAGCUUUUUGUGACGGUAGGUUGAGAAGAAGCACCGGCUAACUACGUG
rnacentral:rRNA from 1 species